GGGUUGUGAGGUUAAGCGACUAAGCGUACACGGUGGAUGCCCUGGCAGUCAGAGGCGAUGAAGGACGUGCUAAUCUGCGAUAAGCGUCGGUGAGGUGAUAUGAACCGUUAUAACCGGCGAUUUCCGAAUGGGGAAACCCAGUGUGUUUCGACACACUAUCAUUAACUGAAUCCAUAGGUUAAUGAGGCGAACCGGGGGAACUGAAACAUCUAAGUACCCCGAGGAAAAGAAAUCAACCGAGAUUCCCCCAGUAGCGGCGAGCGAACGGGGAGGAGCCCAGAGCCUGAAUCAGUGUGUGUGUUAGUGGAAGCGUCUGGAAAGGCGCGCGAUACAGGGUGACAGCCCCGUACACAAAAAUGCACAUACUGUGAGCUCGAUGAGUAGGGCGGGACACGUGGUAUCCUGUCUGAAUAUGGGGGGACCAUCCUCCAAGGCUAAAUACUCCUGACUGACCGAUAGUGAACCAGUACCGUGAGGGAAAGGCGAAAAGAACCCCGGCGAGGGGAGUGAAAAAGAACCUGAAACCGUGUACGUACAAGCAGUGGGAGCCUCUUAAUGGGGUGACUGCGUACCUUUUGUAUAAUGGGUCAGCGACUUAUAUUCUGUAGCAAGGUUAACCGAAUAGGGGAGCCGAAGGGAAACCGAGUCUUAACUGGGCGUUAAGUUGCAGGGUAUAGACCCGAAACCCGGUGAUCUAGCCAUGGGCAGGUUGAAGGUUGGGUAACACUAACUGGAGGACCGAACCGACUAAUGUUGAAAAAUUAGCGGAUGACUUGUGGCUGGGGGUGAAAGGCCAAUCAAACCGGGAGAUAGCUGGUUCUCCCCGAAAGCUAUUUAGGUAGCGCCUCGUGAAUUCAUCUCCGGGGGUAGAGCACUGUUUCGGCAAGGGGGUCAUCCCGACUUACCAAUCCGAUGCAAACUGCGAAUACCGGAGAAUGUUAUCACGGGAGACACACGGCGGGUGCUAACGUCCGUCGUGAAGAGGGAAACAACCCAGACCGCCAGCUAAGGUCCCAAAGUCAUGGUUAAGUGGGAAACGAUGUGGGAAGGCCCAGACAGCCAGGAUGUUGGCUUAGAAGCAGCCAUCAUUUAAAGAAAGCGUAAUAGCUCACUGGUCGAGUCGGCCUGCGCGGAAGAUGUAACGGGGCUAAACCAUGCACCGAAGCUGCGGCAGCGACACUAUGUGUUGUUGGGUAGGGGAGCGUUCUGUAAGCCUGUGAAGGUGUACUGUGAGGUAUGCUGGAGGUAUCAGAAGUGCGAAUGCUGACAUAAGUAACGAUAAAGCGGGUGAAAAGCCCGCUCGCCGGAAGACCAAGGGUUCCUGUCCAACGUUAAUCGGGGCAGGGUGAGUCGACCCCUAAGGCGAGGCCGAAAGGCGUAGUCGAUGGGAAACAGGUUAAUAUUCCUGUACUUGGUGUUACUGCGAAGGGGGGACGGAGAAGGCUAUGUUGGCCGGGCGACGGUUGUCCCGGUUUAAGCGUGUAGGCUGGUUUUCCAGGCAAAUCCGGAAAAUCAAGGCUGAGGCGUGAUGACGAGGCACUACGGUGCUGAAGCGACAAAUGCCCUGCUUCCAGGAAAAGCCUCUAAGCAUCAGGUAACAUCAAAUCGUACCCCAAACCGACACAGGUGGUCAGGUAGAGAAUACCAAGGCGCUUGAGAGAACUCGGGUGAAGGAACUAGGCAAAAUGGUGCCGUAACUUCGGGAGAAGGCACGCUGAUAUGUAGGUGAAGCGACUUGCUCGUGGAGCUGAAAUCAGUCGAAGAUACCAGCUGGCUGCAACUGUUUAUUAAAAACACAGCACUGUGCAAACACGAAAGUGGACGUAUACGGUGUGACGCCUGCCCGGUGCCGGAAGGUUAAUUGAUGGGGUUAGCGGUAACGCGAAGCUCUUGAUCGAAGCCCCGGUAAACGGCGGCCGUAACUAUAACGGUCCUAAGGUAGCGAAAUUCCUUGUCGGGUAAGUUCCGACCUGCACGAAUGGCGUAAUGAUGGCCAGGCUGUCUCCACCCGAGACUCAGUGAAAUUGAACUCGCUGUGAAGAUGCAGUGUACCCGCGGCAAGACGGAAAGACCCCGUGAACCUUUACUAUAGCUUGACACUGAACAUUGAGCCUUGAUGUGUAGGAUAGGUGGGAGGCUUUGAAGUGUGGACGCCAGUCUGCAUGGAGCCGACCUUGAAAUACCACCCUUUAAUGUUUGAUGUUCUAACGUGGGCCCCUUACCGGGGUUGCGGACAGUGUCUGGUGGGUAGUUUGACUGGGGCGGUCUCCUCCUAAAGAGUAACGGAGGAGCACGAAGGUUGGCUAAUCCUGGUCGGACAUCAGGAGGUUAGUGCAAUGGCAUAAGCCAGCUUGACUGCGAGCGUGACGGCGCGAGCAGGUGCGAAAGCAGGUCAUAGUGAUCCGGUGGUUCUGAAUGGAAGGGCCAUCGCUCAACGGAUAAAAGGUACUCCGGGGAUAACAGGCUGAUACCGCCCAAGAGUUCAUAUCGACGGCGGUGUUUGGCACCUCGAUGUCGGCUCAUCACAUCCUGGGGCUGAAGUAGGUCCCAAGGGUAUGGCUGUUCGCCAUUUAAAGUGGUACGCGAGCUGGGUUUAGAACGUCGUGAGACAGUUCGGUCCCUAUCUGCCGUGGGCGCUGGAGAACUGAGGGGGGCUGCUCCUAGUACGAGAGGACCGGAGUGGACGCAUCACUGGUGUUCGGGUUGUCAUGCCAAUGGCACUGCCCGGUAGCUAAAUGCGGAAGAGAUAAGUGCUGAAAGCAUCUAAGCACGAAACUUGCCCCGAGAUGAGUUCUCCCUGACUCCUUGAGAGUCCUGAAGGAACGUUGAAGACGACGACGUUGAUAGGCCGGGUGUGUAAGCGCAGCGAUGCGUUGAGCUAACCGGUACUAAUGAACCGUGAGGCUUAACCUUACAACGCCGAAG
rnacentral:rRNA from 1 species